GGUACGGUGGCUCGACAGGUAAGGCAUCGGCCUCAUAAGCCGAGGGACUAGCUCCCGAUCCUGGUUCAAAUCCAGGUCGUACCU
rnacentral:tRNA from 1 species